ensembl:lncRNA
UCACCAGCUGCCAGAAGCAUCUCAUUAGGAGGCAGCCUUACUGUGCCUGGAGCUGUCUGCCUCUGGGGUCUUAUUAGAGACACCUGUCACAAACAUGCUGUGUACUAACAGACUGUAGGUUGGCUUUUGAAGGACAUUCUCUGCUGCUGUCAAAGCCAACAGCUGGAGGGAGACUUAGCUAGUGCAGGCAAUAGGGGGCAAUGUUGCACUCAAAGGAAUAGAGGGUGUAAACCCAUCCAUCCAUCCUUCAUCCAUCUAAACCUCCAUCCAUCCAAACAUCUAUCUCUCCAUCCAUCUAUCCAUACAUCCAUCCCUUAUCUACCCAAGCCUCCAUCCAACAAACAUCUAUCUAUCCAAUUGUCCAUCCAUCCAUCCAUCCAUCCAUCCAGCCAUCUAUCCAUCCCUCCUUUACCCAGCUCAACCUCCAUUUAUCCAUCCAUGCAUUCAUCCAUUCCUCACCUACCCAUACCACCACCAUCCAAACACCCAUCUAACCAUCCAUGCAUCCAUUCAUUCAUUUUAGUUCAUUUUGUUUUGCUAACGAUGCAAUAAUAGAGACUAAGUUUUAAAGGACAGAAGUUUAUUUUGGUUUACGGUUCUAGUCCAAGGUUGAGAGUCCGCAUCUGGUGAUGACCGUGCUGGCAGAGUCCUGCGGGGACGUGUGUCACAUGACAGUAUACAGGAGCCUGUGUGUUUCUUCUAUUCUCUGGCUCUUCCUACAAAGCCUCAACCUGAUGACCUUAUCUGAUCCUAAUCACCUGGGAAAAGCCCCUCCUUUACACACCAUCAAGUUUUCACCUUCCUAAUACCUUACAGGGGGAAAUAAACUUCUAUAUUCGAGUUUUCAUAUGGAAAAACCAUAUUCAUAGCCAAGCAUCACCAGUCCAUCCACCCACCCACCCAUCCAGACAUUAAUCAGGUUUUCUCUUUCUCUAGCAAGUAUUUGAAUACUCCGAACCUGGGACUAGGAUUUCAAAAACAAGAUAUGGUCUGCCCUCGAGCUGCUCAGUCCCAUGGUGGGACAAUGUGCAAGUAGAGAUCCAUGACAGUGUGACAGUGCUGUCACAGGAGCACAUUUGUGUGCAGAGUAUCUCUGCUGUGGGGUGCGGGAUGCAUGACCAGGAGAUUCAGAGAGCCAGCCCUUGCCUGGGGCGAGGGAGGCUGAGGGCUUGGUGAGGGACCUGGGGUGGGCUGGACUGGCUGUCCCUACCAGUGGCCUUGGCCAGGUGGAGGGGAGUGUGCAGAGGUGGGAGAUGACCUCUGGGAGACGUGGCCCACUGUAGUGGGAGAGGACACGGAGACUGCAGAUGCCUUGCUAUAGCCUGUGCUGGAAGCUGUGAGUGAUGCUAAGAAGGAGCGGAACAACCCAAAGUGUGCUUUGGAAAAUCCUUUUGAGUCUUUUUGGUGAGUGGCUGGAGAAAGUGAAUCCAGGCAGAGACCAGAUGGAAGGAUAGGCGCUAUCCAGCAGGAAGCUCUAAUGAUCCAGUCAGGGUCCUCAGAGUCCUCUCUGGGGAGAGAAAGGCCCUGGCAAUGCUGAGCAACAUCAUGCACAAAAUGCCCCCUCCUGAAGACAAAGCUCUGGAUCAGAGUCCUAAGCCGUUGCUGUGAUAACUGCUGACUUUGGUGAUAUGCACGUGCGCACGUGACCACCUACAUAGCAUAAAAUGUUGCACACGUAUGCAUUUAUGUCAGAUUCUACAUCUGUACACAUAUAUUUUACAUACAUGCUUCACAUCAGCAGGUGUUUAUUAUUUAGCCUUUGAGAAACAUCGUUUUCAGUGUGGCAGUUAAUUGGAAAUGCUCAUUUUCAGAGGCAGCACCAGCACCUGCAUAGCUUUUGCUAUAUGCUUUUGUUUUUUAAUAAUCUCUCUCUUGUUUGUGUGUCUGUCUCUCUGUCUGUCUCUGUCUCUCACUGUAUCUGUCUUUCCAUGGAAACCAGGCCUCAGGCAUGCUAGGAAAGAGCCCUAACUACUGCUCUGCCUGGCCUCAUGCAUGUGUUUUGAGUCUGCUCACAAUCAUCCAGAAUCCCCUGAACCCACUUCACUUCCUGUCUCUGCAUUUUUAUCUGCAAACCACAUCCUCUGUAAUCUGAAUGUGAACAGUUGGUUCUGAAUAAAGCACGAUGGUAAAGUGUUUGUAAGCUGACCAUGAGUCACUGAAGUUCUGUUAUUUUGUGACCACUUGGAAAAUUCAUUUAUUUUUAAAAUAUAAAGCAGUGAAACAAUGAUUUUUGAGGCCUUUCAUC